AAAGGUAAACUAUUGAUAAUAGUUGAUAAUAUUCAAUUUAUUACGCUAGUUUUCGGCAGUGUUCAUCUCAAAGAUAAUAAGAACAUUGAACUGACCUAAAUUUAAUCGAAAAAAUGGAAUGAUAUUCAAAAAUACAGGAUUGCUUAGUUGUCAAAAACAUAGGUCACGUCGAAACUUCAAUAAAUCUCCGUUUUUGUUUUUUUUCUUAUUCUUUACUUAAUAAAAUAACGAG